rnacentral:rRNA from 1 species
CCCGGACCUUGUACACACCGCCCGUCACACCAUGGGAGUUGGUUUUACCCGAAGCCGGUGCGCGAACCGCAAGGACGCAGCCGUCCACGGUAAGGUCAGCGACUGGGGUG